GACGGGGGGUCCAAGCGUUGUUCGGAAUCAUUGGGCGUAAAGCGUGUGCAGGCGGUUUUGUAAGUUGGAUGUGAAAGCCCCGGGCUUAACCCGGGAAGUGCAUUCAAAACUGCAAAACUUGAGUAUGGAAGAGGGUCGUGGAAUUCCUGGUGUAGUGGUGAAAUACGUAGAUAUCAGGAGGAACACCGGUGGCGAAGGCGGCGACCUGGUCCUAUACUGACACUCAUACACGAAAGCGUGGGUAGCAAACAGG
rnacentral:rRNA from 1 species